rnacentral:lncRNA from 10 species
GGAGGAGUCCCUCCUCCCUGAGUUUUUGGAAUAGUUUCAGUAGGCUUGGUAUCAGUUCUUCUAUGUGUGUCUAGUAGAAUUUGGCUGUGCAUCUACCUGCUCCAGGGCUUUUUCUUGGUUGCCAGGUGAAGAUUUUCCUGCUUCCCCAUUGCCUUCUGCCAUGAUUGUAAGUUCCCCGAGGCCUCCUCAGCCAUGCUUCCCAAACAGCCUGUGGAACGAGAAAAGGCCAUGUGAUGACCUGGUGAGAAGGUGGCAAUCUGCAAGCCAAGAAGAGGGCUUUCACCGGAAACAAACUCUUCCAGAUCUUAAUUGUGGAUUUCUAGCCUCCAGAAUGUGUCUCCAAUCCUAUCCCCCUGUUAGCUCCAGUGCUUAUAAGAAGACCAAGUGCUUUCCCUUGGCCUGGGUUGCUCAGGUCUCCAGUGGAAAGAUAUUCUUUCAGAUACUGUGUACUGAUGAAACUGCUGACUCAGCUGGUCUGAAGGACCCCACUGGCACUGGCUGGUCUGAAGGACCCUGCUGAUCACAACUUGCCUGAAGGACCCUACUGACAUCAGCUGUUGUCCAAAGGACGCCACAAGAAACUGACUCACCAAAAAAUGCAUCCUGAUGAUUUCAUCCCCCUUAACCCGACCAAUCAACAACCCCAAAUCUACACAGCCCCUUUCCCUCCAUGAUUCCUACAAAACUCCAGCCCAGAACUCCUCAGGGAGAUGGAUUUGAAGGUCUCCUCCCUUCUACUUGCUUGAUGCCCUAUUAUUAUUAAACUCUUUGCUACAAACCCUGCUG